rnacentral:rRNA from 1 species
AACGUAGGUGGCGAGCGUUAUCCGGAAUUACUGGGCGUAAAGCGUGCGCAGGCGGCUAUGCAAGACAGAUGUGAAAUCCCCGGGCUCAACCUGGGAACUGCAUUUGUGACUGCAUGGCUAGAGUACGGUAGAGGGGGAUGGAAUUCCGCGUGUAGCAGUGAAAUGCGUAGAUAUGCGGAGGAACACCGAUGGCGAAGGCAAUCCCCUGGACCUGUACUGACGCUCAUGCACGAAAGCGUGGGGAGCAAACAGG